AUUGAACGCUGGCGGCAUGCCUUACACAUGCAAGUCGAACGGUAACAGGUUAAGCUGACGAGUGGCGAACGGGUGAGUAAUGUAUCGGAACGUGCCCAGUCGUGGGGGAUAACUGCUCGAAAGAGCAGCUAAUACCGCAUACGACCUGAGGGUGAAAGCGGUGGAUCGCAAGACCUCGCGCGAUUGGAGCGGCCGAUAUCAGAUUAGGUAGUUGGUGAGGUAAAGGCUCACCAAGCCGACGAUCUGUAGCUGGUCUGAGAGGACGACCAGCCACACUGGGACUGAGACACGGCCCAGACUCCUACGGGAGGCAGCAGUGGGGAAUUUUGGACAAUGGGCGCAAGCCUGAUCCAGCCAUGCCGCGUGCGGGAAGAAGGCCUUCGGGUUGUAAACCGCUUUUGUCAGGGAAGAAAAGGUUCUGGCUAAUACCUGGGACUCAUGACGGUACCUGAAGAAUAAGCACCGGCUAACUACGUG
rnacentral:rRNA from 1 species